rnacentral:lncRNA from 1 species
AUAGAGUUCAUCCUCAAUCGUUUAGUUCACAUCGUCCACCUAUAUUUGUUUGCUUUUAAUUGUAAUUACAUCCUAUAAAUGAAUUUUAUGGAUAGAAGAUGUAUUAAAUUCUAAUGUUAUUGGGUUUGACAAAACAUCCAAGAUGGACCUUCAUUGGGCCAGACGAAAUUGAUAUAAAGAAAAAGAAAAACUAAGUGGCCCACUCCAUGCACUUAUAUAUCUCUACGUGAGAUAAGAGAAAGUGGAGGUAGGUGUGAGAUAAGACAGAAAAAGAGGGUUCUAGAGAAAGAGAGAAAACGUUAGAGUUCUCAAGAAGCUUUCUCCCUGUUGUUCUUUUGUGUCUUUGAUCUUGUUCUUACUGAGCUUGUACCUGAAACCAAAAGAUAUCAUCACAAGUUAGUGGUGUGUGUAACCUCUUUGAUAUAGUGAAGCUUGGAAGCAAGAGUCCUUCCCCGAGACGUAGCGGUUAGGCCGUGAACUCGGUUAUCAAAUUCUUGUGUUUGUUCCUUUUACAAGCUACUCUUCUUCUCAGUUUUCUCUACAAGUAGUAUCAGAGCGAUCCAAGUUUGAUUUCAAGGAAGAUAGCUAGCUAUGGAACCAACAAAUGCAAAAUUUGAGAUUGAGAAGUUUGAUGGCAAAGGAGAUUUUGGGUUGUGGAAGCAUAAGAUGAUGUGUCAGUUAGAGAUUCUAGGCUUAGAAUCUGCCUUGGUUGAAGAUGCUACACCAUCAGACCCUGGAAGUCAAGAGGAAGGAGGUGAACCUAGGGUAGAUCCAAAGAAAGCAGAGAAAGAUAAAAGAGCAAAGAAUCUGAUCAGCAUGAGCCUAAGCGAUCUGAUUCUAAGGAAGGUUAUGAAGGAGACUACUGCACUUGGGAUUUGGAAGGCACUUGAAAGAGACUACCAGACAAAGACCUUACCCAACAGGAUCUAUUUGAAGCACAGGUUCACAAGCUUCAAGAUGGUGGAAAAUAAAAGCAUUGAGGAAAAUCUGGAUACUUUUCUCAAGCUAGUUGCAGAUCUAGCAAGUUUAGACAUCAACAUUAGUGAUGAAGACCAGGCUCUACAAUUCAUGGCCGGCUUACCACCACAAUAUGAUUCACUAGUUGAUACACUCAAGUAUGGGAGUGGGAAGGAUACCCUGACACUAAACGCAGUCAUAAGUUCAGCAUACUCAAAAGAAAUUGAGUUGAAAGAAAAGGGAUUGUUGAACGUGUCAAUACCAGAUUCAGAAGCAUUAAUGGUUGAAUCUAGAGGCAGAUCAAAUUAUAAGGGGAAUAAAAGGCCAUGGACUCGAAGUUCUAGUGGGAACGGGAAAUUUCAAUCAAGGCCAAGUAACAACACAGGUUGUUUUAUCUGUGGAAAGGAAGAUCACUGGAAAAGGGAAUGCCCUCAAAGGAAGAAACCUGCAGAAUCGGCUAAUGUUGCAACUGAGCCUGCGCAACCUUUGGUGUUAACCGUGAGCACUCAAAGCACAUACAAGGAAUGGGUUAUGGACUCUGGUUGUACAUUCCAUAGUACAUCCGAUAAAGAAGUCUUGUUUGACUUCAAGAAAUUCAAUGGUGGUAGAGUGCUAAUGGCUUACAACACUCAUGGAGAAAUCAAAGGAAGUGGGAAAAUCAAAAUUCAGAAUCGUGAUGGUUCUGUAGUGAUACUUAAGGAUGUAAAAUACAUGCCGGAUGUGGGUAGAAAUCUUAUUUCUUAUGGGAUGCUAGAAAAAUCAGGCUGCAAGUAUGAGGAAAGUGAUUUCAUGGUUCACUUCUACAAAAAUAAGAAGAAGGUGAUAUCUGGAAAGUACCACCAAGGGCUCUAUUAUCUUCAAGGCACAGUUGCUAAGAGUGAAGUGAAUGUGUCACGAGUUGAAACUAGUGAAAAUGAUAUUGCUAAGGCUGAAAAGAAAUCAAGAAAGAGGAGGUCUAAGAAGGUGACAUCUAAUGAGAAUCUAAUUCAAGGUUCCACUUCCUAUGGUUUUGAAAGAAAGAGCUCAUCAAAUCAAGAUAGAGAUUCAUCUCCAUCAAAAGAAUUAAAAAGUUCAGAAGAAGUUAAAUGUGAAGUUUCAAGUUCUGAGGCAUGUGCUUUGGUUGCUAUAGAAAUUGAAACAAAAGAAUAUAAAACCUAUAAGGAAACGACGAAAAGCACGAAAGGGAAGCAUUGGAAGAGUGCUACAGAUGAAGACAUAGAUUCUCAAAGGAAAAACGAGAAGGUGGUUGGGAGUAAGUGGUUUUCUAAACUGAAACCAGAGAAGAGGGAUUUCAUCAAGGGGGAUUUAAGUCUAUCUAAGAUUCACUCAAGUACAAGACCAAAAAUUCUUCAGAGGGAAGCAGUACCUGGUAUGAAGUUCCAGCAUUGCUGUGAGCUUCUUAACAUCCACUGAAGUAGAGCAGCGGCUCCAGGUAACUCCAAUAGUCUCGCAAAACAGGAUAAUCAAGUUGAGUUAGUUUUGUGAGAAGUACUCAAGUGUCAGAAUUGAGUAAGGUAUUUAAUUGGAGUUGGAGUUACCUGUAGGAUACUGGAGCUGUGUAAGAGUCACUAGUUCCAGGUGGAGUAUCUGGUGAAAAAAAAAUCCAAGGAAGUAGGUUAAGAAUUUGAAAAAGGUUGAUUCUGCUUCAGGUGGAGCUGUGAAGAGUAAGAGAAAUCAAGAAUAGAAUUUCUCAGGUGGAGUUUCUGCAAGAAGGAUUGUGAAAUCAAAGUUAUGAUUUUGCAACGUCUCUGAAAAUUAGUGGAUUCAGAGACUGGACACGGCAUGAAGAAUGAUGAUUCAGGCUAAGAGGUUACCUGUAGUUAUCAAAGAAGAAGAGAAACACGGGUUUGUUGUUCAUCGGAGAAGAGAUGAAGCUCGUCGGAGAAAUGGAACCGAUAUCCUGAGAUGGAUUAAAAAGGAGAAAUUUUUAAGUUUCUCAAAAUUCUGGAAAUUUUCAAGGAUCCUAGUCUCUAAGUGUCACAAGAAGAGACAAGAGAGAGAUUAGAGGAUACCUUGGAUGAACGGUGACGGCGGCAGUCCGAUUCACCGGAGAAGACGAGCAAAUCGGGUCAGGUUCAUGAGAAAGAAGACGAAGGAGAUGUUUUUUGAUUCGUCGAAAUUGGGAGCCGCCGUGAAACAGGUGGAGGCUGAAGCUUACUUUCACCGGAGAAGAUUCUAAUCUCUAAGUGUGUAACAACAGUCAAGGAGAGAGAUUAGAGAGUACAUGAGAUUAAUGGUGACGGCGGCGGUCGGAUUCGGUGGAGGAGAACGCAGCCGAAGCUAAUCGCCGGUGAAGAUGGCUGUGAUGGUUCGUGGUCGAGAGGCAGAGAUGAGAGGCGAAGAUAGUGUUCUUGACUCAUCAAAAUUGGUUACCGGCGGGAACAAAGUUGUUAGCCGGUGAUGGAGGAUGUCACCGGAGUAGAUCGCCGGAGGAGGUGGCGAUCCGGUGGUGGCGUUGAGCUUCACGUAGGGACAAAGGAAAGAGGUUGGUUGUCAGAGCGUCGAUGUCGUCGAGGUUGGUGUGUUUGUCAAAAGGUGGAGAUUGUUGUUGGGUUUGACAAAACAUCCAAGAUGGGCCUUCAUUGGGCCAGACGAAAUUGAUAUAAAGAAAAAGAAGAACUAAGUGGCCCACUCCAUACACUUAUAUAUCUCUACGUGAGAUAAGAGAAAGUGGAGGUAGGUGUGAGAUAAGACAGAAAAAGAGGGUUCUAGAGAAAGAGAGAAAACGUUAGAGUUCUCAAAAAGCUUUCUCCCUGUUGUUCUUUUGUGUCUUUGAUCUUGUUCUUA